rnacentral:rRNA from 1 species
UAGGGAAUAUUGGGCAAUGGGCGAAAGCCUGACCCAGCCAUGCCGCGUGAGCGAUGACGGUCCUCGAGAUUGUAAAGCUCUUUUCUGAGGAAAGAACAUCCCGGGUAGGAAAUGCCCCGGGCUUGACGGUACCUCAGGAAUAAGGAACGGCUAACUCCGUGCCAGCAGCCGCGGUAAUACGGAGGUUCCAAGCGUUGUUCGGAAUUACUGGGCGUAAAGGGAGCGCAGGCGGACAAGUCAGUCUAAAGUGAAAUCCCGGGGCUUAACCUCGGACUUGCUUCGGAUACUGCUUGUCUUGAGUUCGUGAUAGGAAGAUGGAAUUCAGGGUGUAGCGGUGAAAUGCACAGAUAUCCUGAGGAACACCGGUGGCGAAAGCGGUCUUCUGGCGCGAAACUGACGCUGAGGCUCGAAAGCGUGGGUAGCAAACG